ACUUCCUGUUCCUAUGCAAUCACCAAAGUUAAACAACACCGAGCCCAGUCAGUACCUAGAUGGGUGACCAUUUGGGAAUACCAGGUGCUGUAAG